rnacentral:lncRNA from 1 species
GUACUACAAAAAUCAAGUGUAAUUCUAUGCACAACCAAAUUCAGCCUAACAGAGGUAUACCAGCACAAAGAUUAUUUACUUUUUGUUUUUUUUUUUUGAGACGGAGUCUCGCUCUGUCGCCCAGGCUGGAGUGCAGUGGCGCGAUCUCGGCUCACUGCAGGCUCCACCUCCCAGGUUCACGCCAUUCUCCUGCCUCAGCCUCCCGAGUAGCUGGGACUACAGGCGCCCGCCACCACGCCCGGCUAAUUUUUUGUAUUUUUAGUAGAGACGGGGUUUCAUCGUGUUAGCCAGGACGGUCUCGAUCUCCUGACCUCAUGAUCCGCCCGCCUCUGCCUCCCAAAGUGCUGGGAUUACAGGCGUGAGCCACCGCGCCCGGCCAAAGAUUAUUUACACUUUAAUUUAAACCCACAGAGAGAUCACCUAAAAGAAGACCACAGAGGAAAUAAGCCAUUACACAGAAAUGCUUCUCAAGGACAUAGAGUCUCUCCUUACAAUGUCUCUGUGCUCCUUUUUGGGAGACAUGUACAGAUCAAACUUAGUUUUAAAGUAUAUUUAAUAUGACUGUCAUAAUGAUCAUUCCGGGUUAAAGUCGAAGUGACUGCAACACCAGAACACAAUUUUGUUUUUUAUAAAUAUGUCUUUAAGCUGAUGCCUUUUCUUUUUUUUUGAGACGGAGUCUCACUCUUGUUGCCCAGGCUAGAGUGCAACACAGUCUCAAAAAAAAAACAACCAAAAAACAACAACAAAAAAACAGUGUUCAUGCGUGGAAUUCCUGUAAUUAUAAACUUCCCCAAUGCAUUUAAUUUGGGACAGAGAAAACACAACCUUCAAAUUAUGCCCUCUAGGUAAACACAGUUUACUCAUGUGUUAACGUGUUCCUUGUAC